GAUCAACGUUGAUGCGAUGAACUGAUUACCCCAGAUCGUCACCACGGGUGUCAGGGAGCGAAUGGUGAAACCAGCAACAGUCAUG
rnacentral:ncRNA from 1 species